UGAUACGACGGAGCCUGUGCUUGAUAGAAGAAUCAGAAACUCUCCCCUUCUUGUUGAUAGCCCCUUUCGGACGCCCUCGUCUACGAGAACUGGGUCCUGUCGUCCCAGUCAAAGUUAGCAAAUCGUUGUUGUCAGUCAUCACAGCAAGCGGCUGAACAACCAAAGGUGCAUAAGUCCUCUCGUGUUCCUGGUCCACUACCUCAAUUUGGCUCUUUUCGUCAUCUGACUCAAGCUGUUCCAUAUCCUUUCUAUCCUGAUUGUCCUGAUAGAUGCAAGCAUCUGAAGCUCGGCCUCCAUCAGAUGGCGGCUUUUCCAUGUUAUCAUCACAAACAAGUCUAUGUUCAUCUUGCAACUCUAGAGAAACCAACACAGCAAAGGGAUUGGAUGAGGUAGGAGAGUCUGAAGAAGAGUUCAGUUUCUGUCCAACCUCAGCAAAAGCCUUUCCAGCCCUUGCUGGAGAUUCCUGAUUUCCGGUGUAGGGACGAGGAUGAACCCUGUGGUCAUCUACCUUGGACUGACCACGUUCCCGGCCCUGAUGUUCCGUAAAGCCCUCCUCUGUCGUGUUUGUUUUCCUCCUUCUGCAUUCGUUAGAAAUAUGUCCCACAACCUUGCAAACCGAGCAGUAAUAAGGCAAAUUCUCAUAUACAAACUUGACAGUAAAAUCAAUGUCGCCACACUUAAUAUCUAAAGUCUCAGGAAUAGCAGCCGAAACAUCUAACUCAACAAGAAUUCUAGCAAAGUGACCC
rnacentral:lncRNA from 1 species